AUGACCGAGGAGAUUUGGUACUGGGAGCACCUGCGUUCCGGCAAAUUGAUGUAUACUCCUAUACCCCCACCGUUGGUCGCACGAUGGGACGAAUGCACGUGCGUAAUAAGAGCAGAAGCUUACACCUCAGGAGGUCUUCAUAACGGACUGGUUGUGAUGGAAAUUUGUGCUCGACAAACAGAGGCCAACAAUAGAAAGGAUCCAGGAAGCAAAAAAAUUGUACGUGUGGAUGAAGGUGAUUCAUCACGAGCACAAUCACAAGGUCAAAAUAUGAGUAGCCACCAGGUGGAAAUGAUAGUUGCAGCCCUGAAUGCACGUUGUGCUGAGAAAGUAAAGAAGAUAGGCAGACAGUUAAUGGAAUUUCAGCAUAGAUUUGACGCGAAAUUCCUCACCCUGAGCAAAGAGUUAAUCGACAUUAAGAGUAAAUCUGGCAGUAAUCCUAGGCUCUCGCUGCUCGAGGACAAAAUUAAGGACUUAAGGAGGGAACUGAAGGAAUUUAAAAACCAAACUAAAGUCAGCCGACAAUCCGAGUCACAGAAAGCAGGCGUCGAGGAACAAGUCAAUGUGUGCAGUGAUCCCUUCAUGGCGACUCCUAAGUUCGACGCAUCCACGCCACGUACUUCGACUCCAACACCAAGUGCCAGACACGUCCUGCCAAACAAGGACGAUCCUCGAAUCACACCAUUGAAGCCUCUGUUUAAUAAUGAUUAUGUGCUCACUGCUGAGGACAAAGAGGCAGCCAUUUUCAUCCGGGGAACACACGACCCUGUUGAAGUCGUUCAAAUCGGAGACAUUCCCCUAAGAGUGGAACAACUGAAGCCAAUUUACGAUAAAAAAUACAUCUGUGGUGAUGUUAUUAUGGCGUAUGCUCACAUCAGCGGAGUUGAGACUGAUACUACCUCAGUCAUAUCCCCCAAUGAAACCAGAAAGCAUUUACAAACAAAAGGGGGACGCCGGAAGGGGUCCCCGAACCAAAAUUGUUACCUUAUAUACAUUAUUCCAUGGAAUGAGUCCUCUUUGACUUUACGGCAGGUCCACAUCCCGUUGAAUGUGAAUGAUAACCACUGGAUGGCAAUGGUGUUCAAUUUCGACAAAGAAGAGAUUCAAAUCCUAAAAUCCUUGAAAAAUCAAUUUGACGAGUCCAAGGAAACUACUCUUGUGGAGGCGAUUCAGGCCUGCAUGGAUGAAGCGGUGAAGGAUGGCUUUGUAACACCAGCUAAGCCCAUCAAAUUUACUGACUGGGAAGUAGUACGCUAUGAUGACAUACCGCAACAGAAUGACGGGCGGAGACGUAUGAAGCCCACGUUGCAUCGCAACCUAUCAAUUCACAAGACGAUGUCCAAGAAAUUAUCGGUACUAUUGAGUGCAAGAUAUCAGAUACGUCGAGCUCCCCAAAGGAUCCCGACACCCCGAGCUCCCCAAAAAAAAGGAGAGGACGUGGACGCCCGAGGAAGCUUGUCGAUGAAGUGCAAGCUAAAAAAACAAAAACUAUGGAAGAGCUCAGAGUGA
rnacentral:rRNA from 1 species